AGCGAACGCUGGCGGCAGGCCUAACACAUGCAAGUCGAGCGCCCGCAAGGGGAGCGGCAGACGGGAGAGUAACACGUGGGAACGUGCCCUUCAGUUCGGAACAACCAAGGGAAACUUUGGCUAAUACCGGAUACGUCCGAAAGGAGAAAGAUUUAUCGCUGAAGGAUCGGCCCGCGUCUGAUUAGCUAGUUGGUGGGGUGAUGGCCCACCAAGGCGACGAUCAGUAGCUGGUCUGAGAGGAUGAUCAGCCUCACUGGGACUGAGACACGGCCCAGACUCCUACGGGAGGCAGCAGUGGGGAAUAUUGGACAAUGGGCGCAAGCCUGAUCCAGCCAUGCCGCGUGGAUGAUGAAGGCCCUAGGGUUGUAAAGUCCUUUCGGCGGGGAAGAUAAUGACGGUACCCGCAGAAGAAGCCCCGGCUAACUUCGUGCCAGCAGCCGCGGUAA
rnacentral:rRNA from 1 species